rnacentral:rRNA from 1 species
ACUAAGCGUACACGGUGGAUGCCCUGGCAGUCAGAGGCGAUGAAGGACGUGCUAAUCUGCGAUAAGCGUCGGUGAGGUGAUAUGAACCGUUAUAACCGGCGAUUUCCGAAUGGGGAAACCCAGUGUGUUUCGACACACUAUCAUUAACUGAAUCCAUAGGUUAAUGAGGCGAACCGGGGGAACUGAAACAUCUAAGUACCCCGAGGAAAAGAAAUCAACCGAGAUUCCCCCAGUAGCGGCGAGCGAACGGGGAGCAGCCCAGAGCCUGAAUCAGUGUGUGUGUUAGUGGAAGCGUCUGGAAAGGCGCGCGAUACAGGGUGACAGCCCCGUACACAAAAAUGCACAUGCUGUGAGCUCGAUGAGUAGGGCGGGACACGUGGUAUCCUGUCUGAAUAUGGGGGGACCAUCCUCCAAGGCUAAAUACUCCUGACUGACCGAUAGUGAACCAGUACCGUGAGGGAAAGGCGAAAAGAACCCCGGCGAGGGGAGUGAAAAAGAACCUGAAACCGUGUACGUACAAGCAGUGGGAGCACCCUUUUGGGUGUGACUGCGUACCUUUUGUAUAAUGGGUCAGCGACUUAUAUUCUGUAGCAAGGUUAACCGAAUAGGGGAGCCGAAGGGAAACCGAGUCUUAACUGGGCGUUAAGUUGCAGGGUAUAGACCCGAAACCCGGUGAUCUAGCCAUGGGCAGGUUGAAGGUUGGGUAACACUAACUGGAGGACCGAACCGACUAAUGUUGAAAAAUUAGCGGAUGACUUGUGGCUGGGGGUGAAAGGCCAAUCAAACCGGGAGAUAGCUGGUUCUCCCCGAAAGCUAUUUAGGUAGCGCCUCGUGAAUUCAUCUCCGGGGGUAGAGCACUGUUUCGGCAAGGGGGUCAUCCCGACUUACCAACCCGAUGCAAACUGCGAAUACCGGAGAAUGUUAUCACGGGAGACACACGGCGGGUGCUAACGUCCGUCGUGAAGAGGGAAACAACCCAGACCGCCAGCUAAGGUCCCAAAGUCAUGGUUAAGUGGGAAACGAUGUGGGAAGGCCCAGACAGCCAGGAUGUUGGCUUAGAAGCAGCCAUCAUUUAAAGAAAGCGUAAUAGCUCACUGGUCGAGUCGGCCUGCGCGGAAGAUGUAACGGGGCUAAACCAUGCACCGAAGCUGCGGCAGCGACACUAAGUGUUGUUGGGUAGGGGAGCGUUCUGUAAGCCUGUGAAGGUGUACUGUGAGGUAUGCUGGAGGUAUCAGAAGUGCGAAUGCUGACAUAAGUAACGAUAAAGCGGGUGAAAAGCCCGCUCGCCGGAAGACCAAGGGUUCCUGUCCAACGUUAAUCGGGGCAGGGUGAGUCGACCCCUAAGGCGAGGCCGAAAGGCGUAGUCGAUGGGAAACAGGUUAAUAUUCCUGUACUUGGUGUUACUGCGAAGGGGGGACGGAGAAGGCUAUGUUGGCCGGGCGACGGUUGUCCCGGUUUAAGCGUGUAGGCUGGUUUUCCAGGCAAAUCCGGAAAAUCAAGGCUGAGGCGUGAUGACGAGGCACUACGGUGCUGAAGCAACAAAUGCCCUGCUUCCAGGAAAAGCCUCUAAGCAUCAGGUAACAUCAAAUCGUACCCCAAACCGACACAGGUGGUCAGGUAGAGAAUACCAAGGCGCUUGAGAGAACUCGGGUGAAGGAACUAGGCAAAAUGGUGCCGUAACUUCGGGAGAAGGCACGCUGAUAUGUAGGUGAAGCGACUUGCUCGUGGAGCUGAAAUCAGUCGAAGAUACCAGCUGGCUGCAACUGUUUAUUAAAAACACAGCACUGUGCAAACACGAAAGUGGACGUAUACGGUGUGACGCCUGCCCGGUGCCGGAAGGUUAAUUGAUGGGGUUAGCGGUAACGCGAAGCUCUUGAUCGAAGCCCCGGUAAACGGCGGCCGUAACUAUAACGGUCCUAAGGUAGCGAAAUUCCUUGUCGGGUAAGUUCCGACCUGCACGAAUGGCGUAAUGAUGGCCAGGCUGUCUCCACCCGAGACUCAGUGAAAUUGAACUCGCUGUGAAGAUGCAGUGUACCCGCGGCAAGACGGAAAGACCCCGUGAACCUUUACUAUAGCUUGACACUGAACAUUGAGCCUUGAUGUGUAGGAUAGGUGGGAGGCUUUGAAGUGUGGACGCCAGUCUGCAUGGAGCCGACCUUGAAAUACCACCCUUUAAUGUUUGAUGUUCUAACGUUGGCCCCUGAUCGGGGUUGCGGACAGUGUCUGGUGGGUAGUUUGACUGGGGCGGUCUCCUCCUAAAGAGUAACGGAGGAGCACGAAGGUUGGCUAAUCCUGGUCGGACAUCAGGAGGUUAGUGCAAUGGCAUAAGCCAGCUUGACUGCGAGCGUGACGGCGCGAGCAGGUGCGAAAGCAGGUCAUAGUGAUCCGGUGGUUCUGAAUGGAAGGGCCAUCGCUCAACGGAUAAAAGGUACUCCGGGGAUAACAGGCUGAUACCGCCCAAGAGUUCAUAUCGACGGCGGUGUUUGGCACCUCGAUGUCGGCUCAUCACAUCCUGGGGCUGAAGUAGGUCCCAAGGGUAUGGCUGUUCGCCAUUUAAAGUGGUACGCGAGCUGGGUUUAGAACGUCGUGAGACAGUUCGGUCCCUAUCUGCCGUGGGCGCUGGAGAACUGAGGGGGGCUGCUCCUAGUACGAGAGGACCGGAGUGGACGCAUCACUGGUGUUCGGGUUGUCAUGCCAAUGGCACUGCCCGGUAGCUAAAUGCGGAAGAGAUAAGUGCUGAAAGCAUCUAAGCACGAAACUUGCCCCGAGAUGAGUUCUCCCUGAGACUUUAAGUCUCCUGAAGGAACGUUGAAGACGACGACGUUGAUAGGCCGGGUGUGUAAGCGCAGCGAUGCGUUGAGCUAACCGGUACUAAUGAACCGUGAGGCUUAACC